CAGGCCUAACACAUGCAAGUCUCACGGGCAGCAAUGUCAGUGGCGGACGGGUGAGUAACGCGUAGGUAUCUAUCCUUGGGAUGGGGGACAACCGUGGGAAACUACGGCUAAUACCGCAUGAUGACUGAGGUCUAAAGGCGCAAGUCGCCUGGGGAGGAGCCUGCGUACGAUUAGCUAGUUGGUGGGGUAAAGGCCUACCACCGCGACUAUCGUUAUCUGGUCUGAGAGGAUGAUCAGCCACACUGGGACUGAGACACGGCCCAGACUCCUACGGGAGGCAGCAGUGGGGAAUAUUGGACAAUGGGCGCAAGCCUGAUCCAGCAAUGCCGCGUGUGUGAAGAAGGUUUUCGGAUUGUAAAGCACUUUCCGCGGGGACGAUGAUGACGGUACCCGCAUAAGAAGCCCCGGCUAACUUCGUGCCAGCAGCCGC
rnacentral:rRNA from 1 species